UGGCUCAGAGGUUAAAGCAUCUGCCUGCAAGGCAGGAGACCCGGGUUCAAUCCCUGG
rfam:TPA: Bos taurus chromosome 1, whole genome shotgun sequence.